AUUGAACGCUGGCGGCAUGCCUUACACAUGCAAGUCGAACGGCAGCGGACCUUCGGGUGCCGGCGAGUGGCGAACGGGUGAGUAAUAUAUCGGAACGUACCUUUCAGUGGGGGAUAACGUAGCGAAAGUUACGCUAAUACCGCAUAUUCUGUGAGCAGGAAAGCAGGGGGAUCGCAAGACCUUGCGCUGAUUGAGCGGCCGAUAUCAGAUUAGCUAGUUGGUGAGGUAAAGGCUCACCAAGGCGACGAUCUGUAGCGGGUCUGAGAGGAUGAUCCGCCACACUGGAACUGAGACACGGCCCAGACUCCUACGGGAGGCAGCAGUGGGGAAUUUUGGACAAUGGGCGCAAGCCUGAUCCAGCCAUGCCGCGUGAGUGAAGAAGGCCUGG
rnacentral:rRNA from 1 species